rnacentral:tRNA from 1 species
GCCCCUGGCAACGGGAUAGCUCAACUGGUAGAGCAUGAGACUUUUAAUCUCAGGGUCAUAGGUUUGAGCCCCACAUUGGGCA